CACAAAUUUAUUUACUAGUCAUAUAUCAUCAAAUUAAUUGGUCAUAAAUCCAAAAUUUCAUAGAUUACAAUUUAUUUCGAGGUCACAAAUCAAACAAGGCACAAAUUAUUUCAAAUCUAAAUUACUUAGUUAGAGAUUAUUAAAUUUUUAGAUCACAUUAAAUAGCUCGUCACAUAUAACUGAAUGGUUGGUCACAUACGCUAAUUUCUUGAUCAUAAACAAUCAAAUUAUCUGUGACUACCACCAACACUCGUGACCACCACCUCACCACUACCACCAGUUGCAUCCCGCCAAAACCACCACCACCAAGAUCUCCAGUAGCCCCGUCAUUUCAAAUAUCGCACCUAGCACUAUCUUACCACAAAAACAAAACAAAUACAAAACCACCGACACUUUAGAAAGGCCACCACCGCGACGUUAUCGACACUACCAAUACCAACACCACGACAUCACCACCAACAACAAUUACCACCACCAGAUCCAAUCAGCUGCCAACAAAAACCACGACAAUCGACUCCAUUAGCUCUCCAGCCACCAACAACCACCUCCGCCGCCGCCAAAACACGGCAAGCAGACAUUGCACCACAAGUAGACAUCGUACCCCAAACCACCGCAAGCAGAUCACUGAACUGGCAAAAAUUUUAGAUCAUCGUAUCACAAACCGAACGAUCUGAUUUCCUCUUCAUUACAACUGGUGGCAACGGAGAACGAACCCACCAUUACAGUCGUGCGCACCGACAUUGAACAAUCAUCGUUGCAGUUCAUAAGCAACCCAUCAUCUGUGCAGAGCACGCCUGAGAGUGUCUUCGUCGGUGGUGCUCUCUGACGAGGCCAUAGACAAUUCAUGUGUGACAAAACCUUCGGUGGUGCUUUGUCAUUAAGAGAGGGAAGAGAAUAUAUAGAGAGAGGGAAGACGGUAGAGAGAGAAAAGAUAGGAAAAAAUGGUUAGGAUUUGGAAUAAUUGGGUGAAGAUAUUUAAUAUUUUAAUUAUUAUAUUGAUAUCUCAUUUAUG
rnacentral:lncRNA from 1 species